rnacentral:rRNA from 1 species
CAGUCGCCGCGGGAAUACAGAGGGUGCGAGCGUUAAUCGGAUUUACUGGGCGUAAAGCGUGCGUAGGCGGCUUUUUAAGUCGGAUGUGAAAUCCCUGAGCUUAACUUAGGAAUUGCAUUCGAUACUGGGAAUCUAGAGUAUGGGAGAGGAUGGUAGAAUUCCAGGUGUAGCGGUGAAAUGCGUAGAGAUCUGGAGGAAUACCGAUGGCGAAGGCAGCCAUCUGGCCUAAUACUGACGCUGAGGUACGAAAGCAUGGGGAGCAAACAGGAUUAGAUACCCGUGUAGUCCCUGUCUCUUAUAC